CCAGACAGUCGCUGCCUGCGCAAGCAGGGGGAGGAAAGUCCGGGCUUCAUAGGGCAGGGUGCCAGGUAACGCCUGGGGGGCGCGAGCCUACGACCAGUGCAGCAGAGAGCAAACCGCCGAUGGCCGCUUUGCGGAUCAGGUAAGGGUGAAAGGGUGCGGUAAGAGCGCACCGCGCGGCUGGCAACAGUUCGUGGCACGGUAAACUCCACCCGAAGCAAGACCAAAUAGGUUCCCUAUGGCGCGGCCCGCGUUGGGAACGGGUAGGUUGCUGGAGCCUGUGGGUGACCGCAGGCCUAGACGAAUGACUGUCCAAGACAGAACCCGGCUUACCGGCUGACUCCA
rnacentral:RNase_P_RNA from 1 species